UACGGGGGGGGCAAGCGUUGUUCGGAAUUACUGGGCGUAAAGGGCUCGUAGGUGGCCAACUAAGUCAGACGUGAAAUCCCUCGGCUUAACCGGGGAACUGCGUCUGAUACUGGAUGGCUAGAGAUUGGGAGAGGGAUGCGGAAUUCCAGGUGUAGCGGUGAAAUGCGUAGAUAUCUGGAGGAACACCGGUGGCGAAGGCAGCCCCCUGGGCCAACACUGACGCUCAUGCACGAAAGCGUGGGGAGCAAACAGG
rnacentral:rRNA from 1 species